rnacentral:rRNA from 1 species
CCUACGGGGGGCAGCAGUGAGGAAUAUUGGUCAAUGGACGAGAGUCUGAACCAGCCAAGUAGCGUGAAGGAUGACUGCCCUAUGGGUUGUAAACUUCUUUUAUAUGGGAAUAAAAUGUUCCACGUGUGGGAUUUUGUAUGUACCAUAUGAAUAAGGAUCGGCUAACUCCGUGCCAGCAGCCGCGGUAAUACGGAGGAUCCGAGCGUUAUCCGGAUUUAUUGGGUUUAAAGGGAGCGUAGGUGGAUUGUUAAGUCAGUUGUGAAAGUUUGCGGCUCAACCGUAAAAGUGCAGUUGAAACUGGCAGUCUUGAGUACAGUAGAGGUGGGCGGAAGUCGUGGUGUAGCGGUGAAAUGCUUAGAUAUCACGAAGAACUCCGAUUGCGAAGGCAGUUCACUGGACUGCAACUGACACUGAGGCUCGAAAGUGUGGGUAUCAAACAGGAUUAGAUACCCCUGUAGUC